CUUCAAGGCUCUCUUCUCUCAAGUCACGUCUCGUUUCUAAAUCCUUAUCUUUGCUGCGAAUAAGAACAUUUGGGAUGUAAUUUAUCAAACCUUCUAAAAUAAAAUCUCUGGGGUCAAUUUGAAAGGAGCCCAUAAUAAUAAGUAUGUUUAUUAUCAUUUCGAGAGAAAUUGGUUGGGUUUGAAUAUUUUGAAUUUAAAAUAUGGGGCAAAUGACAAUUUUCUCGUUUCUAUCACCCGCUUCAUCUGCCUUUCUAUCGGCACAAAAAAAAAAAAAACAGAGUAAUAUGUUAAACCAAUCACCCCCUUAGGCCAUCUCCAAAGGGAGAUCUAAGUGGUUGUUCAAAAGCAAAAGUGUCUACAAAAUAAAUCAAAAAUGAAAAAAGAUCUUGGACCCGUAUCCAAAAUUAGAUUUUUAAAACUUAUUUAGACACGCAUACGUGUCGUUUUCUCCUCUUUUUCUCGUUCUUUCUUCUUCUUCUCCGAUACAACCCAGAAUCACUCUGUAACUCACUUGUCGUUGCUCUUGUCGUAACCCUAGCUACCAAUAAAAUCCGUCGCGACGUCCAUAUCUCCCCUCCUUCUCCUCCUCCCACCACAUGUUAUCCCUUCCGCCUAUCUCACCUAUCCAUCUUCCCCCAACCUCGAUCCCCUUCUCAAAUACAGAAAUUUCAGAUCUACCAUAUCAUUCGACCUCUCUCAAUUCUGCUUCUCUUUUAAAUAUUAGGAUUUGGGAAGACGAAGAGUAAGUGUCUAUCCAUUUUGAUUUUUGUCUGAACCCAUUUCUGGGUUUUGCUUUACAUAGCAUGGAUGGAAUCUCAGAUUUGUUAGUGUUUCUAGUAAAUUGUGUAUAUGGGUUGUCUCGAAUCUGACAAUCUUAAAGCGAUUCAAAGAGUGAUGAAACCUAAAUUUACUAAUUGAUAUGGAAUUUGGUGUGUAGGGUUUGGUUUCACGAUUUGAUUUGCUUUGAGCUGAACACGUUUCUUCGUAAUUCAACAUUUCUUUUCGUUGUUUGAACUCAUCUAGUGUUAGCAUUAGACGGGCAAGCAAAUCUUCGGGUUUAAUUUCACUAGUUAAGUUGUGUUCGUUCUUUUGUCUUAGAUUCAGGUGUGAUGGACAGAAAUUAGAGGCUAGUCACCUAUGAAGAGCUAAUGGACAUAACUAAAAAAUUUAAGCAAUAGUCGAGUUCUCUGAAUUGUUUGUGUUCAUUUAGACGUUGAUUUUAAGUCUUUUUUGUUUGUUCCUAUGUUGAAUUGGGCUUGGUAAUUGCAGGGAACAUGUUUUGUUGAUAGUAAGGAAGAUAUGUGGUUGCAGGAGCAAAUGAUUUGAAAGGUGAAGAUGGGAAUACAAAUGUGGUGAUUAUAUUUCUUCUAGCCUAGGGAGUUAAAAAGUGACGUGAGGACAAGCUGAUGAUAUGGCUUCCAAUCUUUCUACCGUCUUCUCUAACUUGGAGCUACUUUGCUUCCUGUAACCAAGGUAGUACCAAAAGCAUUAUCUUCAAGAUUGUGUGUUAUACUUUCACUAGUUUUUGAGAUCUAUCGAAGUUUAGCAUUUCUUUAUCCAACGUUUGAGAUUUCUGUGCUUUGAUUACUUUUGUAGGUUUUAAGACAUUUGUUGUAUCUAAUGAGGAUUCAGAGAAGCCUAUCUAUUGACGGGUUUCUCUUGCUCAUCUCUGUUCGUUAGAGGAUCAGAGAACCAUAUUCAUAGAUGACAAAGGCACGUGAUUGGAAAGCCAUAGAAAACUUAUUAAUCUCAUUUGCCCAAUGUGAAGAUUCACUGAGUUUGUGUGUCAAGGUUUUUGAGUGUGUAAGUUUUGAGAGUGUGGAGUGUGUGUCAAGUUUUGAGAGUCAAAUGUAUCCCAAACACUUGUACCAAUUUUUUCAAAAAUUUAAAUUUUUAUAUCCUCAAAUGUAAUUUCACCAUUGGACUGUGUCUAAAUUGAAAAAUACUUUGAGUGUCUAAACUUUUGCUUUUGCAUUAAAACAAUUAGAAAUAUGGUUUUAGACCCAUGAGGGAGUCUAAACCAUUGGAGAUGCUCUUAGUGUUUCAUUAAGAUCUUAAACCAGUAAAGUUUUAAAAAAAUUUGUACUAAUAUGUUAGGUUAUUUGGCCAGAUUUUGGAAAAAGCCACAAAUUUUUUUGCUAAAUUUCAUAGUAAGUCAGAUCUAGACACAAAUAAACAUCCAUUACCACUUGCACCGAAAAAGUAAAAAACAAUCUGAAACAAUUUUUGCAAAUGUCAAAAGAGGGUUUAUAAAUUUAGUGGCAAUAUAGUUUGAUAUUUGAGUCAGCCCCUGCAGUGAAUAGCCAUGGUUGUCUCGGAUGAAACUUGCAGUCCAAGACUCAUGCAAUCAAAACCCAUAAUAUAUAUAUAUUAAUCUCCUGAAAAAUCAAAAUAUAUGACGAUGACGCAUAAUAGUGUGAUUUAAUACUUUGUAUAAAAGUUUAUGCCGGUUUCUAAUACUUUGACUUAAGAAUCUUUCUGAACUGACUAAUUCCUUGAAAACUGCUGCAGGUAGAUAACAUGGCAGGGCAAGGAUCAACGUCUCAAGCUCUGUAAGUUUCACAAUCUAUGAAUGCAUGAUGAGAAUCUCUUUUUGAUGAAUGAGUGAUUCAAUAGAUAUAAAAGAAGAACCUUUGUUCUGUUUUUUCGUUGUUGGGGUUAUGCUAAUAUGCUAACUAUGAAGCAUGAAUGAAGGAGCUGCUAAUAUACCACAACUACAAGCCAACACUCUGUGCCAUCAAGAAAUAGAUGAAGGAUUCAAGAGAGGAUCGAUCUGCUAUGUGGGCAAUUUCCGGUUCGAUUUAACCGAAGUUGGUUUGAGAGACCUUUUCUCACCAUUCAGAGAGGUUAUUUCUUGUAAAGUCAAGAGAUUUCAAGACUCUAGGUUGAGUGGAGGGGACGGCUUUGUAGAGUUCGUCACUCCACAAGAGGCAUUGAACAUAUACUAAUGCAUGGAACAUAUGUAUGAGGGCACAUAUACUAAUGCUACAAUGUCUCUAUACAAGGAAUUCUUUAUUCUAUGACAAAAAAAUAUGUACCAGAGAUGCACCGACAUUCAGACUUGUGUGCGAGAUGAAAUCAAUGAAGAGAAAUGCUCUACAAGCAGAAGGUAUAAAGCUUAUUUGUCAUUUAACUUUGCUCAACAAAACUAACAAACUAGUACUAAAUAUUUGGAUUUUACAAAUUAAUUGAUUUAUCUAAUUAAGAUAGAGGGUAAAAAACAUAUAUAUAUUUCAAAUUUCACUAAGUAAGAAGUAGGUCAAAAACUAAUGAAGUAAAAUAAAAGUAAAUGGAUCAUAUUCCUAAAUGGCUUAUCUUGUAUUAGUUUAUUAGUGAUGUUUAUGAAAAAAGGGUAUAAAUGGUUGCUAAAAUGAAUGAAUGUAAAAACUUCUAGUUACAUUGUGUCCUGGUCACUGAUUAAGCUUUUUAUCAUGUGGAUCAAGGAGUGUUAUUCUCUAUCUUCUUGAGCAUGUUCUUACUUGUUUAUCGUUGUUCUUGUUUUCCCCAAAAUUUGUUUGUUGAUGAACUUAGAGCUGGAGGACUUCUAGAUAAGGAAGGCGGUGUACGAGAGCUGAUAGUUGGUAAAAACGAUGAGCUACUUCAGACAGACACAAAAACCGUCCCCAGGGCUAAUGUUGCGGAAGUCUGCAUUCAGGUCUACUCACCUGCUUUUAUUUUCUUAAUCAAAUCUUCAUAUCCUCUCCUUGGUUUAUUUUCCGAUUUUGAUCUUUCUUCUUUACAAGUACAAGCAUUGCUGUUCGAGGAAGCCAAGAACAAAGCUUUCGAUCUCGGCUCAAAGCCAGAGGGAACCAGUUCUCCGACUAAAGACUUCAAGGCUCUCUUCUCUCAAGUCACGUCUCGUUUAUAAAUCCUUAUCUUUCCUACGAAUAAGAACAUUUGGGAUGUAAUUUAUCAAACCUUCUAAAAUAAAAUCUCCGGGGUCAAAUUGAAAGGAGCCCAUAAUAAUAAGUACGUUUAUUAUCAUUUCGAGAAAAAUUGGUUGGGUUUGAAUAUUUUGAAUUUAAAAUAUGGGGAAUAUUUGGUGAUUUAUUAAAAAUACGGGGCAAAACUG
rnacentral:lncRNA from 1 species